CCUACGUGCGGCAGCAGUGAGGAAUAUUGGUCAAUGGGCGCGAGCCUGAACCAGCCAAGUAGCGUGAAGGAUGACUGCCCUACGGGUUGUAAACUUCUUUUAUAAAGGAAUAAAGUGAGGCACGUGUGCCUUUUUGUAUGUACUUUAUGAAUAAGGAUCGGCUAACUCCGUGCCAGCAGCCGCGGUAAUACGGAGGAUCCGAGCGUUAUCCGGAUUUUUUGGGUUUAAAGGGAGCGUAGAUGGGUUGUUAAGUCAGUUGUGAAAGUUUGCGGCUCAACCGUAAAAUUGCAAUUGAUACUGGCAGUCAUGAGUACAGUUGAGGUAGGCGGAAUGCGUGGUGUAGCGGUGAAAUGCUUAGAUAUAACGAAGAACUCCGAUUGCGAAGGCAGCUUACUAAACUGCCACUGACAUUGAUGCUCGAAAGUGUGGGUAUAAAACAGGAUGAGAGACUCCUGGAGGA
rnacentral:rRNA from 1 species